rnacentral:tRNA from 1 species
GCCGACGUGGUGGAACUGGUAGACACGCUAUCUUGAGGGGGUAGUGGCGCAAGCCGUAUGAGUUCGAGUCUCAUCGUCGGUACCA